rnacentral:tRNA from 1 species
GGGUAGGUGCCGGAGUAGUCAAACGGACAAGGCUGUAAACCUUGCGGUCUCUGACCUACGGGGGUGCAAAUCCCUCCCUACCCA